rnacentral:rRNA from 1 species
CUACGGGUGGCAGCAGUGGGGAAUAUUGCACAAUGGACGAAAGUCUGAUGCAGCAACGCCGCGUGGAGGAUGACACAUUUCGGUGCGUAAACUCCUUUUAUAUAGGAAGAUAAUGACGGUACUAUAUGAAUAAGCACCGGCUAACUCCGUGCCAGCAGCCGCGGUAAUACGGAGGGUGCAAGCGUUACUCGGAAUCACUGGGCGUAAAGAGCGUGUAGGCGGAUAGAUAAGUCAGGAGUGAAGUCCUAUGGCUCAACCAUAGAACUGCUCUUGAAACUGUCAAUCUAGAGUGUGGGAGAGGUAGAUGGAAUUUCUGGUGUAGGGGUAAAAUCCGUAGAGAUCAGAAGGAAUACCGAUUGCGAAGGCGAUCUACUGGAACAUAACUGACGCUGAGACGCGAAAGCGUGGGGAGCAAACAGGAUUAGAUACCCUAGUAGUC